AUUGAACGCUGGCGGCAGGCCUAACACAUGCAAGUCGAACGAGCGGCGGACGGGUGAGUAAUGUCUGGGAAUCUGCCUGAUGGAGGGGGAUAACUACUGGAACCGGUAGCUAAUACCGCAUACCAUCAGAUGUGCCCAGAUGGGAUUAGCUAGUAGGUGGGGUAAAGGCUCACCUAGGCGACGAUCCCUAGCUGGUCUGAGAGGAUGAUCAGCCACACGGGAACUGAGACACGGCCCAGACUCCUACGGGAGGCAGCAGUGGGGAAUAUUGCACAAUGGGCGCAAGCCUGAUACAGCCAUGCCGCGUGUAUGAAGAAGGCCUUCGGGUUGUAAAGUACUUUCAGCGGGGAGGCGUUACCCGCAGAAGAAGCACCGGCUAACUCCGUGCCAGCAGCCGCGGUAAUAC
rnacentral:rRNA from 1 species